CUGCAUCUCGGGGACUCUUGUUCUAGGAGGUCACCGUUCUUGCCGUUAGGGCAGCUCCGCGUUGGGUGGGUGGCAUCUCAGAGUCCAUAAGAGCCAGGAGCAUCAUUACUGUAGUUGUCGCAGUGGGGACAUGGGUCGCUGGAUGUGCCUCACUCUGGAAUGAAAGAAACUACGUCCUGGAAAGCUCUGGUUCUGGUCUUGGCUUUUCCUGGUGCCUCCACAGCCAUAGGUUUCAGUGUUCUCUGAGACCUCGCUGUCUUAUGCCUCUCACAGGUUCCUGUGCUGCCUUCUCACAUUCUGGGGUCUCAGGCGCUGACCUUAUGAGGGAUCCCGUCUGAGUUGGAGACACCCUGCCGUCGUUGCCCUUUAUCUUCACAAAUGAAACCAGGAUGCCCACACUGUCCUUCCCUCUUCUCAUACGUUGAAAGGUUUGAAGUGACAAAUAUUCCAGAAGAAUGUUUUUCUCCUUUGGAUCUUUUCUUUAAAAAUGUGAGAAAACAAAAUGAAGAGGCCCUUGAGUUGGUUGUUGAUUUGUCAUGCAUUCAGCACUGCUGUGAAGCAGAGGUGGCAAAGCUGAGAGAACCCAUUUCUGCUCCCACUGCUUCCUAGAUACACGGCUAUUGUGGAUUUCUAGGAAGGAGAGUGACAACAAUGAACUUCCAAGUGGCUCAGGAAGGACCAACAUGCCUUAUUAUCUCUGUCCUGACUGAUGACAUGACUUUUAUUUCUUUUCCUUUGUUGUGUACACAGAACAGUGGUGUGCCAUGUUUAUGUGAGUGGAACCCUCUACUUGGGCAGAGUGAUAUUUCUUUCAAUUCAUAACUUGCUAGUUUAAAAAAUCCAGUUAUAAAAUGAGAACAUGAGAAAACUGCUAAGUCGUUGGGAUUUCUCCCAUGAUGCUCUUUCCUGAUGACACCACAAAGUGGCAUAAAGUCUCUUCUCCAACCUUUGACCACA